CCUACGGGUGGCAGCAGUGAGGAAUAUUGGUCAAUGGGCGCGAGCCUGAACCAGCCAAGUAGCGUGAAGGAUGACUGCCCUACGGGUUGUAAACUUCUUUUAUCAAGGAAUAAAGUGAGGCACGUGUGCCUUUUUGUAUGUACUUUAUGAAUAAGGAUCGGCUAACUCCGUGCAAGCGGCCCCGGUAAUACGGAGGUCCGGAGCUUUUACCGGAUUAAUUGGGUUUAAAGGGAGCGUAGAUGGGUUGUUAAGUCAGUUGUGAAAGUUUGCGGCUAAACCGUAAAAUUGCAAUUGAUACUGGCAGCCUUGAGUACAGUUGAGGUAGGCGGAAUUCGUGGUGUAGCGGUGAAAUGCUUAGAUAUCACGAAGAACUCCGAUUGCGAAGGCAGCCUACUAAACUGCCACUGACAUUGAUGCUCGAAAGUGUGGGUAUCAAACAGGAUUAGAUACCCCAGUAGUC
rnacentral:rRNA from 1 species